GGUGGUUCAGUGGUAGAAUCCUCACCUUCCAUGCGGGAGACCCGGGUUCAAUUCCCGGCC
rnacentral:tRNA from 1 species